rnacentral:rRNA from 1 species
UACGGAAGGUGCAAGCGUUGUUCGGAAUGAUUGGGCGUAAAGCGCACGUAGGCGGUUUUGUAAGUUAGAUGUGAAAUCCCCGGGCUUAACCCGGGAAGGUCGUCUAAGACUGCAGAUCUUGAAUGCUUGAGAGGUUGGUGGAAUUCCUGGUGUAGGAGUGAAAUCCGUAGAUAUCAGGAGGAACAUCGGAGGCGAAGGCGGCCAACUGGCGAAGCAUUGACGCUGAGGUGCGAAAGCGUGGGUAGCAAACAGGAUUAGAUACCCUGGUAGUCCACGCCGUAAACGAUGGAUACUAGGUGUUCGGGAAGUUAAACUCCUGAGUACUAAAGCUAACGCAUUAAGUAUCCCGCCUGGGGAGUACGGUCGCAAGGCUAAA